GACGAACGCUGGCGGCGUGCUUAACACAUGCAAGUCGAACGGAAAGGCCCUGCUUUUGUGGGGUGCUCGAGUGGCGAACGGGUGAGUAACACGUGAGUAACCUGCCCUUGACUUUGGGAUAACUUCAGGAAACUGGGGCUAAUACCGGAUAGGAGCUCCUGCUGCAUGGUGGGGGUUGGAAAGUUUCGGCGGUUGGGGAUGGACUCGCGGCUUAUCAGCUUGUUGGUGGGGUAGUGGCUUACCAAGGCUUUGAAGGGUAGCCGGCCUGAGAGGGUGACCGGCCACAUUGGGACUGAGAUACGGCCCAGACUCCUACGGGAGGCAGCAGUGGGGAAUAUUGCACAAUGGGCGGAAGCCUGAUGCAGCAACGCCGCGUGCGGGAUGACGGCCUUCGGGUUGUAAACCGCUUUCGCCUGUGACGAGGCGUGAGUGACGGUAAUGGGUAAAGAAGCACCGGCUAACUACGUG
rnacentral:rRNA from 1 species